UUGAAUCUACCUAAGGUUAUCUGUUCAAAACCUAAGAUACUCCAUUCUCUAAACUGCAGAAGAAGGACUCUUUCCUACAUCAUCUCAGACUUAGAAACCACUUCAGUUUUCUACAGAACUUUUCACCAUAUUCUGCACAGUUACUUGCAGCUUCACCUCAGCUCUGAUGAAAUACAGAUUUCACACCUCUCCCCAGGUUUUGGAACUAGCUGUUGCACAGAAGCAUGGAUCCCAAGAACCACUUCCCAAGGAUGAAAUUGAGAACUGGAGGCACAAAGUGACUACCACUGGGGUAAGAACAAUUGAGGUGAUUGUGCACUGGAACAGUUUGUCCAGAAAGGCUGUGGAGUCUUCCUUACCAGAGAUAUCCAAGAACACAAUCCCACACCAUGUCCUCCACAAUGGCCCUGCUUGAGAAGACAGGUUGGACCAGAUGACCGACUGUAGACCCUUCCAACUUUAAACACUCUUUGAAGGCACUCAAAACUUGACUGGGGAGUUUGCUAUAGUAAAUCUGAGGACAACAGAUCCAGAAUGACAAAAGGCUGUUUCAGCAAUGUAAACUGAAAGACAAAAUACUCGGCUAGAUUUGGCCCAAGAAGUUUGAUUCCAACGUCAUCAGUGACAGCGAUUUACCAUCUUCCCUGAGAGCAAGAGGAUGUGCAGCAGUUUUGUUUGCUUGGUUUCUUCUUCUAAAGGCUCAGUACACAACUGGAAAUUAAGUCUAGAUGAGAAAGACACUGCUCCAAACAACAGGUCUUAUUCCAGUGCCCUAUCACAGAAAAAAGCACUGUCAAACAGGAAAAAGUUCACACAAGAGGCCACCAACACAGUUGGAGGCUGCAGCACAGAACCUAUGAGGACAAACUUGGAAGCAGGGUCGAUUCCACCUCCAGGGGCCUAACAGCAGACCGCUAAUAGAAGUUAUUCAGAAGAUCGAGCCAAGCUCUUGUCCUCCAUCCACAGGACAAGAGACAACAGAAGCAAGUAUAAACACACAAUGUUCAGAGACUAUAAAAAGAAAGUCUGACAUCUAGAUGAUGGACCAGUGGUCAAUGUGGUGUCUCCAUCCUUAGAGAUUUUUUAUGACCUGCCUGGAUGCGGCUUUCAUACCUGUUAUGACCUUCUUACUGACCCUGCUUUAUUCAGAUCUUUGAAACAGAAACUGAGUACUCCACUGAAUUAUUCUAUAAUUGUUCUAUAAUAUCAGUCUUUAACUCAAAGUUACAUUAUUUUACUAAAUUUAAGCUUUAGCAGAAUUGUAACUAUAAUCUCCAAAUUGUUUUCUUUAAAACAAAAGAUAAUUUAAAUUCAUAUCUAUUAGCUGCCUGUCCAAUGAAUAUCAGGGAUUAUA